rnacentral:rRNA from 1 species
GGGGCCGGUUACCAUGCAAGUCGAGCGGGGAAAGGUAGCUUGCUACUUAACCUAGCGGCGGACGGGUGAGUAAUGCUUAGGAAUCUGCCUAUUAGUGGGGGACAACAUCUCGAAAGGGAUGCUAAUACCGCAUACGUCCUACGGGAGAAAGCAGGGGACCUUCGGGCCUUGCGCUAAUAGAUGAGCCUAAGUCGGAUUAGCUAGUUGGUGGGGUAAAGGCCUACCAAGGCGACGAUCUGUAGCGGGUCUGAGAGGAUGAUCCGCCACACUGGGACUGAGACACGGCCCAGACUCCUACGGGAGGCAGCAGUGGGGAAUAUUGGACAAUGGGGGGAACCCUGAUCCAGCCAUGCCGCGUGUGUGAAGAAGGCCUUUUGGUUGUAAAGCACUUUAAGCGAGGAGGAGGCUACCGAGAUUAAUACUCUUGGAUAGUGGACGUUACUCGCAGAAUAAGCACCGGCUAACUCUGUGCCAGCAGCCGCGGUAAUACAGAGGGUGCAAGCGUUAAUCGGAUUUACUGGGCGUAAAGCGCGCGUAGGUGGCCAAUUAAGUCAAAUGUGAAAUCCCCGAGCUUAACUUGGGAAUUGCAUUCGAUACUGGUUGGCUAGAGUAUGGGAGAGGAUGGUAGAAUUCCAGGUGUAGCGGUGAAAUGCGUAGAGAUCUGGAGGAAUACCGAUGGCGAAGGCAGCCAUCUGGCCUAAUACUGACACUGAGGUGCGAAAGCAUGGGGAGCAAACAGGAUUAGAUACCCUGGUAGUCCAUGCCGUAAACGAUGUCUACUAGCCGUUGGGGCCUUUGAGGCUUUAGUGGCGCAGCUAACGCGAUAAGUAGACCGCCUGGGGAGUACGGUCGCAAGACUAAAACUCAAUGAAUUGACGGGGGCCCGCACAAGCGGUGGAGCAUGUGGUUUAUUCGAUGCACGCGAAAA